UAAAACCAUUUUAAAUAACAUGUUUAUAAGUACAUAACAUUAAAAGUUGUUCGAUGUUGUAAUAUUUUUAAACUGUAUUUCUAGCAUGACGUUGUUAAGAGUCGUUCAUUCCCGCUUCAGCUGCUCCGUUGCUGUGCGCGCUGAUUUUCUGAGAGAUUUACCACAGACGAAGCCCGGUGCUGUUUCGAGCCGUUUGUUCCCGCUUCAUAGGCCUUCAGUCAGCGAGAGGUGACAGCCGUCCAGUGUUUUCAGAGAGAUUUAUGUCAGAAGAAAACACAUUCUCCUGAACUGCUUUCAGAGGCUCCAAACACUGCAGCUGACUUUGGAUUCACCUGAGACAGCCUCUGAGGAGAAAUGUCAGACAGUCAAUGCUGCCAUUCUUCUGGAAAACUGCUGCUCUUCAAAGAACAGUAAUCAAUCAGGAUCCUCUGUUCCCAGUCCCAACCAUUCAUCUGAAGGACUGUGAAAAUAUGACAGAACCACCAGUGAAAACAAAAUAAAUAGAAAGGACAUGGCAGAGGAAGAUAGGGGUAUUGAUAUUUCACUGAACUUAGUCUUCUGUACUCACUGUUUCACACAUACAGUUGUGGUCAAAAGUUUACAUCACAUUGCAGAAUAAGCAUAAUGUUAUUAAACAAAAUAAGUUAUUAUUAUUAUUAUUAUUAUUAUUAUUAUUAUUUAGGGCUUGAUUAAAAAAAAAGGAAUAGUGUUUCAUGUUUGUUUUGUGAUGGUGUUUCAUGAGUCCUUUGUUUGUCCUGAGCAGUUCAACUGCCCGCUUUUCUUCAGAAAAAUCCUCAAGAUCCUGCACAUUCUCAGGUGUUCCAGCAUCUUUUCAUUUGAACCCUUUUCAGCAGUGACUGUAUGAUUUCGGAUCUUCUUUUCACACUGAGGACAAUUGAGGGACUC